CGCGUAGGCGGCCCGGUAAGUCCGCUCUGAAAGUCAAAGGCUCAACCUUUGAAAGCGGGUGGAUACUGCCGGGCUAGAGUCCGGAAGAGGCGAGUGGAAUUCCUGGUGUAGCGGUGGAAUGCGCAGAUAUCAGGAGGAACACCAACGGCGAAGGCAGCUCGCUGGGACGGUACUGACGCUGAGGCGCGAAAGCGUGGGAGCAAACA
rnacentral:rRNA from 1 species